UGCAGCCCGAGCCAUCCAUAUUUAUUUAUCGUCGAUGACGCUCACUGGGGGUGUGUAUAGACUCCGGAGGGGCUCCUACAGCCCAAGCGCAAUAUCUUGGUGUUACCUAACCGAUCAACCAUUGUUACCUGACCAAUUUAUAUCAUAUAGUGCCAUUGUUACCACUAUUCAAGUAUAUCAUCCAGUGUCAUUGUUACCACUAUUUCAAGUGUAUCACACAGUGUCAUUGUUACCACUGUGUCAAGUAUAUCACACAGUGUCAUUAUUACCACUGUUUCAAGUCACUUUAUAAUCAGUCCAGAAAAUAAUAUAAUAAGCCCCUUGGGCAUUUACAAAACAGAAGUUCCCAGCCCGGAAUACAUUUAAAAAUAUCAUUUAAGUUUUCAACACUUAGAAUUAUAGCUGAGUUUGCAAAAUAGCAUUUAAAACCUUGGACUGAAAUUAAAUGAUAUGCAAAUCAUGCUAAGCCGUAAUAUCAAUCCUCGAAGGAUUUUACAAAUCGGUACAAGGCCCCAAACAUGGCAUCAAGCCCAGUAAUAUCAAUGAAGUAUGUGUAUCAAACACCAGUAUAGUAUAAACAUCACACGGGGUGGACCAAGUAACAAUCCCCAGUAGUAUCCGACCCCGCACUCGCCAUGGAGUGCGUGUCACGCCUCAAUAUAGCGUUACGAUGUGAAAGUCCGGGGUUUCAAACCCUCAGAAUAGCAUUUACAUCUAUUACUCACCUCCAACCGGCCGUAGACUAGUCUGCAAUGCCCUUUCCUCUUGAAUCGACCUCUUCGCGCGUUGAAUCUAGUCAAAACCACAACGAAUACGUUACAAUAGGCUAAGGGAAUAUAACCCAAUCGAAAAGACUCGAAAAAUGUCGAAAAUCCCGAAAUUAGCAAAACCCGAGCCCACGUCUCGAAAUUCAGAAAUUUUUACAUCAAUACGACCCUUAUCUAUCCACGAGUCUAUACAUACCAAAUUCACAAAAAUCGGAGUUCAUUUGAUCCCUCAAAUCACAAUUUAAUUCUCUUAAGUUUCAAGCCACAAACCAUCAUUUUUGUCCAUAAAUUACUUGAGUUUUCAGCUCUAAUCCAUGUAUUUAACUUGGAAAUAAGUAGAAAUAACUCACCUUUGAUGCUUGAUGAAAUAUCCCUUGAAAUUCUCUCCAAAAUAAUCCAAG
rnacentral:lncRNA from 1 species